CCUUAUGUCCCUAACAAUGCUUCAGUUCUGGUCUGACCGCCGUGCGGUGCGAACUGGCUUGUCACGCCAUCUGUGAAGUUACCUCUUAACGAAACCCCGUCGGCAUGGAGCCCGCUUCCGUUGAAGAGCAGCGCGUCGUAAUCAAGUUUCUCUCGAAACUCGGCAAGAAUGGCCGUGAAAUUUUUGCCGAUCUAAUUCGAUAAGACAUCCGGGGAACCACGAACAAAAAAAUCAAGAAAAUCCCGCUCAAAUGUCAAGACAAUGUUGAUUGUUUUUUUCGAUGUUCGGGGGAUUGUCCAUCAAGAAUUCGUCCCUCCAGGCCAGACAGUUGAUGGAAAAUUCUACGUCGAUGUGCUCAGACGCCUCAAAGCUCGUGUGGCACGAGUUCGUCCAGAAUUGGCGCGAGAGGGGCGUUGGAUUCUUCACCACGACAAUGCCCCUGCCCACACCUCUCUUGUUGUCCGUGAGUUUUUGAGUAAAAAUUCCAUUACGGUGACCGAACACCCCCCUAUUCGCCGGAUUUGGCCCCGUGUGACUUCUUCUUGUUCCCAAAAACCAAAUUGGUACUUCGGGGGCGGCAUUUGGGGGACAUAAAUGAGAUAAAAAAAGCUACGACGGGGCAGCUGAGAAACCUACAACCAGAGGACUUUCAAGGAGCCUUCUCACAGUGGAAACGGCGUUGGCACAAGUGCAUUAUGUCACAGGGGGAGUACUUUGAAGGGGAUAAAAUUGAUUUACCUGAAUAAUUGUAAAAUAAAAUUUUUAAAAAACUUUUAUACGUACUUUCCGGACAAACCUCGUAGAUCAUAUUUUGAGCAAUAUCGAAAAUGCCCAAGCAACAGUGUUACCUCUACAUUUGUCCGAUCAUGACACAGCACAAUUACUAACUUUACCUGUACAUGAAAACGACAUUAAUCUAUAUUCACACUAUAUUUAUAGAAAGGAUUAUUGUCAUGAUAAUAUAUUAAAAUUCAAAGAAUGUUUAAAUAGUACAAAGUGGUCAGAAAUAUAUAUGGAAACAGAUCUAAACAAAGCAUUUGAUAAUUUUCAUGAACUACUGUGUUUGUUCUACAAUUUAUGCUUUCCUAUGAAAAAAAUUAAAGUAAUGAAUAGCAACAAAAGUAAGCAAAAUUGGAUAAGCAAAGGUCUUAAAUGUAGCUGUAAACAUAAGAGAUCAUUGCGAUUUAAAUAUUAUAAAAAUAAAACACUAUUAAAUAAAAAAAAGUACACAACAUAUUCUAAUAUAUUAAAAAAAUGCAUUGACCACUCAAAGAAAAAUACAAACAUGAAAUAUAUUAACAACAGCAAGAACAAGUGUAGAGCAACAUGGUCGGUAAUUAAAAAUGAAACUGGUAACACUAAAAGACCCUAUAAUAACAUUACAAAACUCAAUAUAAAUAAUAAAAUGAUAUCAAAUCCUCUUGACGUAGCGACUGCUUUUAAUGAUUACUUCAUUGAGCUAACAAAUACAUCCAAUGGGUCAUCAAAUAGCGCUCAACAAACAACAAAUAUUUGUAAUACAAUAUUCCUUAAACCAGUGACUGAAGAAGAAGUGAAAAAGGAAAUCAUAGACUUAAAUAACACCUCCGCUGAAGGUUACGAUGGCAUAAGUACAAAAAUAAUUAAAAUGUGUAUACCUGAACUAGUUCCCAUCCUGACGCACCUAAUUAACCUUUCAUUUUCUACUGGAACCUUUCCUAAAUUGUUAAAGCUAUCCAUAGUUAAGCCAUUACAUAAAGGUGGUAAAAGGGAAGACCUUAACAACUAUCGACCAAUUACCCUUAUACCUAUCAUAUCAAAGAUUUUUGAGAAAUGUAUGUAUAAAAGAUUGGUAGACUUUUGUAACAAAUAUAAUAUAAUUAACGAGAAUCAAUUCGGGUUUCAAAAACAAAAAUCGACGACACUUGCUGCUUUUAAUCUAUUAAAUACAGUUUUGAUAAAUAUUAAUGACAAUAAUUUGACUACAGGAUUAUUUCUUGACUUAUCAAAAGCGUUUGACUUUGUUGACCAUAAUCAUUUAUUGCAAAAACUAGAUGUACUAGGAAUAAGAGGAACUGCGCUAAACUGGAUAACCUCAUAUCUAACCCACCGAAGUCAAUGUGUACUCUUGGAAGAAAUUAGUAAAAAUGACUUAAAGUCUUACACAUCAAAUUACAGAGAGAACAAAUGUGGAGUCCCUCAAGGAAGUGUAUUAGGACCAAUUUUGUUUUUGUUAUAUAUAAAUGACUUGAUUAAAGUGACAAAACAUAAAUGUAUAUUAUUCGCAGAUGAUAUCACCAUAAUUGUGACAUCUAAUAAAAAAUCUGACAAUUCAAUCCAUAAUCAUGAAACAGAUAUAAAUAAUACAAUUGACAGCAUUAUAAAAUGGUUAGAGUGUAAUAAUUUAAAAAUAAAUCUUAAUAAAUCGAAUUAUAUUCAAUUCAAUAAAUCAAAAAAUACAAAACACAACUUCAAACUAAACAUAACUAAAAUUAAAGAGGCAACACAAAUUAAAUUCUUAGGCAUAAUUAUUGACCAAGACUUAAACUGGAAAUUACAUAUAGACAACAUAUGCACUCGAAUAAAUAAAUUUGUAUAUGCACUUAAAAAGUUAAGAAAAGUGACGAAUACCAAAACUACUAUCACUACGUAUCGCGCAUAUAUAGAAUCAAUUCUACGCUAUGGACUGAUAAUGUGGGGUAAUAGUGUAGAGAUAAAAAGAGCAUUUAUUGCCCAAAAAAAGUGCAUUAGGGCUAUAUGUGGCUUUCCGCCUGGUGUAUCAUGCAAACCAUUAUUUAAGAGCCUUGGUUUACUACCACUACCAUCAAUGUAUAUCUAUGAAAUUUGUAAUUUUGUAAUUAAACAUAGAACAUUGUUUAAAAAAGCAAGUGAUAUGAACUAUAGAUUAAAAAGAGAUCCGGACAGACUUGUACUUACCGAAAUACCAAGAUCAGACAAAUAUAAAAGAAACUGCCUUACUAUGUGCGUUCAUAUAUAUAAUAAAAUUCCAAAUGAAUUUAAAGAUUUGAAUGUCACUUUAUUUGGGAAAAGAUUAUAUAACUGGUUAAAGGAACAGAAUUAUUAUGACGUAAAAGAUUUCCUUGGUAGACGUUUUUGACAUUUAGUAUUAACAAAAAUUUUGUAUAUCUAACAAUGAUUGAUAGUAGGAAACUUAAUUUGCAUGCUAUAUGAUUUUAGCAAGACAUGUGCACUCUCAAAUAUAAUUAUAACAUCACUGUAUACCAUGUUUAAAGCAAAUAAAUAUUAUUAUUAUUAUUAUUAAUGCUUUUAGCAUUAAGUCCGCCAUGUACACAUAUUUGUACUAAUGAAUAAAUAAAUAAAUAAGUCACUUUAAAUUACGGUUAAAACCACGUGGAGGUCGACCUGACUAUAUUGCUAGCAAUCGGACUGGUAGUAGUCCCCAUUACUAACGAUCUCAUUCAUUCUCGAUUCAUUUAUUUAUUAUGAUAUAACAAUGUACAGCAUAUAACGCUAACAAAGAAUGAUCCAAAUAGAACGAAAUCGGAAAUACUUAAAUGACUUGAACAUUAUCUAGUUAAUUAGUAUAAUGUUGUCCUUUCAUUUAAAAAGCAGCGAUUAUGGUUAUCGAAACAAACACAAUUCUUAGAAUAACUUUAAAUAGGGUAAUGGCUAUUAGGUUGGCCAAUACUCAAGCGAGGUCCAGCGGAAAUUUGUUAAUUCUUUUAUUAAACGAUGUACGCUGGUGGGGCACCAGUGAGGGAUGAUAGGCGAGAAUAAAUUCAACACGAUAGUUUCUAGCGGGGACCAAGUGGAGGUCGGCCUGACAGGGGUAUAUUGCUAACAAUGGGUCUGGUAGUCUGCAUUUACUAACAAUCCCUUUUCCCCCCAAAAAGGCAGCUUAGUUAGCCGACCGUGAUGAAUAAACUUGGAAUUCAGCACGAUUGUUUUCAGGGGGGACCACGUGGAGGUCGAUCUGACAGGGUAUAUUGCUAGCAAGGCGACUGGUAGUCCGCAUUACUGACGACCCCCAUCUCACCUCUAGGAGUCAAGAGUCUAUGCAUUUUACCUCCCUUCAUUUAUAAAAACUUAAAUUUUCUAUAAACCUAUUUUAGCUAUUAAGUAAUUUGUCACUUUUUUUUAAAUUGAGAAUUUAGUAUAAAAGAAAAAGACAAAACACUUGGCAAUAAAUGUUUUCUAUAUUCUGUUCUAAAAACACAAACCUAUGAGACAUUUGACGUUUUUAUGAAUAAAGAGGCAAGCGUGUAUACCGUUAUUUUAUCCGUAAAACUAAACUAAAAUAAAUUUAUACAUUUUGUCAUUAUAAUUCGAAUAAAAUCUAUUUUAUAUUAUUAUUAAGAAAAUGGAAUAAAUAAAUUUCAGUAGUAUUUGUCGUUUUUUAAGGAAGCUUUUUUUUAAUUAUUAUUAUUAUAUUAACCGUUAACCGUCCACUGUUGGACAUAAGCCUCCCCCCAUAAGGCUGGUUAUGCCAGUAGUUGCCAGAAGGAAACAUCUUUACUUGGAGGGAAAGGGAUUGUUAGUAAUGGAGACUAAAAAUCCCAUUGCUAGCAAUAUACCCAACCAGGUCGACCUCCUCGUGGUUCCCCCUGGAAACUAUCAUGGUUAAUUCCUGAUGAAUUCAUCAUGAUGGGCUAACCGGCCUGUUUUCAUUCUCAUCGAUCACCCUUCACUGGUGCUCCGCCAGCGUAUCCCGUUAGCGCAAGCGGGGUUGCCAUUCCAUUUUCAUCCACCAAAAAAAAAUCUUUACUUUGGAUUAAUUGCGUAUAUUUAUUAUAUUAACAGGUUUGGGAUUAUGAAUGUAGGUAUUUAUCAUUUAAUAGUUUUAUUUACACCUCGUGAAAAAUUUACUGUAAUUGAUAUAUUAAUUAGUAGUAAUGACAAACCGAUCACAUCUGGUUCAAUAAAAAAAAAUAUGACGAUAAAAUGACGUUUGAGGCUUUGUAUAUAGAGGCAAGGUCAAUGACAGAGAAGCCGUAUCUACUCGUAAUUUGUUUUGACAGUCUAUUAAUGUUUUAUAUAGUACAAACAAAUAAUUAAUAACUUGUUUCAAAUUUUAAUUCCAAAUAAUUUAUUUGCCAGAGGGAGACUUUGUACAAAAGUCGGUUGCUUGGGUACCUCUGUCCUAUUUGUGUUUCAACCGUGAAGCAGUUGUGUUUGCAUGGCUGUGUUUCGGUUUGAAGGGUCGGAUAUGGCAAUGAAUUUACUGGGUACAGAGGAAUAACACCCGAGUCCUCAGGAAUGGCAACGCAUGAGGGGUAUCAUGGGCGAAAGAGUAUACUCUGUUAUGUCCAUGGUACUGCUCAUGUCUAUAGGCGACGGUUACCACUUCCCAUCAGGUGGGCCGUCAGUUUGUUUGCCAUUCUAAUUUGUAAAAAAAAAAUUGCAAGAAACAGAUACUGGUUAUUUGUUUAGAAUUAUUUUGUUUAAUCCCACUAGCAUUAGUACGUGUGUGGCGGCUAACACUCGAAGAUUGGUUACCACUAUUACUACCAGAAGUUCCACAAUCUUCUUUUAAGUAUGUUUCGUCAUAUCCAAUGGCGUGUAAAUCCUUGUAGAAUUAGCAGUCAUCGAAAUACAUAAGCUUCCUUAUUCAUAAAAUCUAAAAUCUGCUACGAGUCAAUUUUAACUAUUACAUUGUGUUGUCACUUUCUUUCAAAUUCUAUAUUUAGCGUAAAAGAAAGAGAUAAAAUAGUUUAAUAGAUGAAAUAGAUUUAUGACUUUUUUUUAUGAAUAAGGGGGGUAAUUAUACAGUCGCGUUAGAAUCUUGAUACGUAAACUUACAUACCUAUUACGUAAAUACUAAUAUUGGAUUGCAUUAUUUUAGAUAGUGUUUCUAUGAUAAUUGCAACAUAGUUUUUACUAAUGCAGUUAUUUACGAAUUAAAUUGUUUUUGUAACUGACUUUUUCGUAAAUUUUAAAUAAAUUCAUAAAUUUCAACAAAGCUUGAUUACCUUUUUUAUCUUAUACGUUUCAGUAAUUAAAGAGUAUUUUUUAUACAACUUGACUUAGAACUUAGAAGAACUUAGUUUCGUUAAUUUAGUAAAUAUUACCUAUACUCUUUAAAAUGAUGCUUACCCUAGCCGUGUUGUAAGGUAGAAUGACGGGUUGCAUCGUGCAUCGUUGUUCGUAUUCUUGGCUCGGCCAGUGCUAAAUGCGACGGGCUACCAGAUACUCGUAUUAGGAUUUAUUCCUUGAAUAUUUAGAAAGUAUUUUAUACUGUAUUUAAUUGUGUUAUCGGUGGACUCGUAGUUUUGCACGUCCAAGUCCAAUCUAACCAAGUCGAAGGAGAAGGUGUCGGACGAGGCCGAGGAGAAGCUACUGGAUAAAGAGGAGGAGGCGAAGAUAGUGACGCGCGUCGACAUGGCCGAUGC